CCCCUUCCUCUGCAUUUGCUGCACGCUAUCUGGGUCAUUAGCAUGUGAUGCUGCAUUUGCACACAAAAUACUGCAGGAAGUGAUGUUUUUUAGGGAUGAUGAGGAAAGGGGGGAGGAGGGGGUGAUGAGGAUGAGCAGGUCCCAGCAUCAGCAACAUUUUCCUCUCCCUGCAGCUGAGCCAUUAAUGCAGUGGUCUAUAAGCAGGUGCAUUAUGGCUGCUGCAGGAUAAUGGAGGAUUUAAGUGCUGCCACUGCUGUUACCUGUAUUUAAAUAAUAAAACGGACACCAUUUGCGCUCCAAGCUGCUCGGCAAGAGAAAUCCAUAUCGCAUCCUGUCUAAAAAUGCUCAUUUUUUUGCCUUCAGGUCUCUGGAAAACAGCUGAAAUCAAUAUUUAUGACAAUUGUAUUUAAGGUCGUUAAGUGUAAGUCAAGUAAAAUGCCACGUUAGUCAUUUUGACGUAGCGCUGUAUCGAGGGAUGAAGGACGGAUGAGGACAAAAUGUACGAUGGUGGUGGGUUUUUUUGGCUGCAGGAAAGUAGGCCAUGUGACGUGAAGCGGGUCGUCUCUCGUCGUGUUCACAGCGGACCUUGAUUUAAAUGUCCAUACAAUUAAGGCACGCGGUGAAUGCCAAGAGAGGCGACCACCGACAACAAAAAAGACCCCUUACAAACAUGUAUUAUUAAAAAUUCAGCCAAGCCAAAAUUAAACAAAAUGCAUUAUUAUCCAAGAAAGGCUUUGUAUGUUUGAACCUGAAUGGAUGGAAGGAUGGAUGUACAUUUGUGGUUGUUGUACCUGCAUGACUGUACUCCAACCAAAAAGGGACAGCCUAUACAAAUACUAAUGCCGCUAUCCAUCCAUCCAACCAUUUUCUACAGCUUGUCCCUCUCAGGGUCGUGUUGGGGGGCGCUGGAGCCCAUCUAGUGGAGCUAAAAAUAAAAUGUCAACAAAACAAAUGUUUUUCCAGUUAAUAACUUUCCAAUUCUCAAUGAAAAAAGGUUUAAACUUUCAAUUCGUUUUUUGUAAAUGUAAUUCUUAAAAAACAUUGUACUGUAAGCAAAUGUUCAUUCAGUUAACUAGUGCCUCCUGAGGUCAAAACAGGUACUACUACAGUAAAAUGCUGUCGUCAAACACUACUUAGAAUAGUCGCAAAAUAGUACCUUACAUCUAUGUAUAAAUAUCAAACAUUUUAAAGGAAAGAAAGCAGUGCUCGUGUUGUCAGUUUAUGGUUGACUUACCGUCUUUGUUGCAUGUCAAAUGUAUGUAAAAGUUUACAGUUUUUUUAUGAACUAUGUAAAACAUUACCAACAUCUGUUUUAUGUUUGAUACACAGUAUGUUUUCCUUGAAUUGUAAUUUUUGUGUCUGUAGUUUGCAGAGGUUUUUACUAUUUUCUACCCUGUAAUGUCACCCAUAUUAAAAUAAAGUUAAUUAUUUGUGUUUUUUUUCCGUUUACCCUAUCUAAAUUUUGUAUACAAUAAAAAGCAGUACAACUUGGAAAAUGCUUUAAAACUAUGAUUUAUUGUAUCUUUGUACUAAAUAAAAUACAUUCAUACACAAUGCCGGCGACUCUGCGGUCUGUGGCACAAAAUGUUGACCUUUAGGAUUUGGGAAAAAAAAAAUAUUUGAGUCCAAACCAAGCAAAAUCCUCGAUUGAGCACGGCAACGCCAUCCUGAGAGAAAAAGCCCUUCUAGUGAGGGAAGCAAAAGAUGGAUGAUAGCGGGCGGAGAAAUGUGUUUCCAUGGUGACAAAACGACAAAGUCAGAGAAUCGGUUGACAAAAAAACAUUUUCUAUCAAAUGACAUAAUUAAGUGUAUAUUACACAAAGCACAAAUGAGCUGCAAAAUGACUAAUUUAACUAAACCUGAGCGUGAAGGCUGGCUUGAGGUUUUGGUUUAAGAACAGUGCAUCUUUAGUGGCCACAUCACAGGUACAAAAACCAAAUGUAUUGUAGAAGGUAGUGACGCCUUAAUGUGUAGACUUUGCUACACUCACUACAUGUGUUUACAUGAAAGGAAUGCUUCCGACUAGCAGUUAAAUAAGAUAAAUAACAAAUUUGAGUCGACUUCAGUGAGAAAAUCUAACUACACACAAAUGUCUUCAUGUCUGAAAAUAUCAAAUAUUGAGAGCACUUUCACUAAAUGUGGUGAUUUCAAUUCCAGGCUCACAUUACUGCAGAUUAAAGUGGUUUAAACGUAAUAACUUAAGUGGAGAUGGCGUUGAAAGCUAUCACAAAAAAAACUGACGAAAGCAAUACAAAAAACAGAAUAACUAAAAUGGAGAUGGCGUUCAAACCUAUCACCAAAUAAAAUUGACAAAAGCAAUAGAAAAUAUGAAUAAUAAAUAAGCAAAAUCCCUUUAAUAAGGAUAGAACCUUCCGAUGGGUCUCAGUGGAAAGAGAACCCAGACGCCGGCAGCCCGCCACACCACUGGCUGAUGAACUUGAGGACGUCCUGACACUCUGGACUGUGACUGGUCUGAAGGUGGACACAAUGGUAAAAAUGUUUGAAGGGACAAACGAAAAAAUGUUUUUGCUUGUGCCCCAACUUACCUUGGUGGCCAUGAGGAAUUUAUUCCAGUCUUCUUUGUUGGCAGCUUUUGCUGGCGAGGAGAAAUCGAUCUUGUUCCUCAGAACGGGAUAGCCUGGAGGAAGGAACACAUUUUCAACUUUUUACACCUCAAAAGUGCUUCAUUACUUUAGAACAACAUAUAAUUAGGGCUGUCUUCAAAUAGUCAAAAGAUUUGACAAUUCGAUUCAUCGUAGUCUGAUUUGACUACCAACCGUGCAAUAGAAUCAGCUUAUAUUAAACCCCCCUUGCCCUCAUCCACGGGAGGGAAGCGAGCUCAUACCGCUGAGGCCCCUGCAUACAGCAGCAUGUGGUAAAAGAAUCAAUUGAUUGUAUUCAUCAUCACGUCUUCUUUGAAUAAUUGUAAAAUAAUCCUGUGUGCAGAAGACUGUUUUUUUAGAAAGUAAAAGAUACAUCUGGGUUUCGGUUGUCACUGCAGCCUUCCUCAGAGCAUUCGCUGCUUCCUGGUGUGACGUCGAAUCUCUAAAAUCAGCUGGGUGUGUUUUGGCCUACCAAAUCUCCUGCUGUCAGACACAGAGCACAGCAUGCCAUCACGCACCUUUGGCCAGCCGAAUCCCACUGCUGACCUCGGUAAAAACCCGCCAGAAAUUGGACACGAUGCGGCGCUGGGACGCGCCGCUUGAAAAAGGUAACGAUCCUUCCGCAUGUUCACAUAAAGAAACUUUGUAACUUUCUUCCACUAUUUAAUCAAGUUUAAUAUCCUCUUGGUGCUGCGCCAUAGCUGAGGUCGUCACAAACUGUGCUUUAGACUUUUUUGGGGGAAAAAUGUACAAAUUAGAACUCUGUUAUGUUCACUUUAAUGUAAGACUGUAUUCCUUUCACAAAUACGUUUAAUUAACUCUGACAUAUUCGUUACGGGUACGUAGUGACCAGUCAGUAUACAUAUUAUAGUAUGUUUAUUUUUCUUAAAAAAAAAAGAAAAAAAACGCUAUAUUAUUGACUUACUGUCCACGAUGGGCAAAAUCCAACAGAUUGUAGUAUGAAACUCUUUAGUAGAAAGAAGACAGCCCUACAUAUAUUUAAACAGACAGUGAGACAAAUAUAUCAUGUUUCAUAUUCCCUCUAUUGGCAUUGGAUGCAUCUCAGCACGACUGUGAUUAUGUGUUUUACCGGUAAGAACACAAGCCAGUGAGCGUAGGCCACUGUUGGCGUCCACCAACGACGCUUCAUAAGAGUUUCUCUCAUCCCGUGGAAGAACCUGUUCUAACCGGCCGUACACGGCCACCGUCAGGACCCAGUUACGGAUUUCCUCCCGUUGGGGGUCCUGUAACACACAUUAGACCAGGAUAGGUUGAGUUUGUUUGUGUGUUUAUGUACAUUUGGUGUGAGUUUGAUUGUGACGUCGCCCUUACAGCGACACAAGGUUUAGUCGGGAGCGGAACUUCAAAGGGAAUGUCGGUGUCAGAGAAGUCAGUGUGAUCCAGAGAGUCCAGGGUUCCCUCUGCAAUGGCCUGACACAAAACAGAAGACAAUAUUAUUGUUGUGUGUUGGUGCCAUUUCCAUAACUAAUCAAAUAAUUUCUAAAUGCAUAAUAUUAAAGCUAAAAUAGUUGUUUUGAUUGAGUGUCCUGCAAGGUGAUUUUAUUGCAUAUUUAACUAUUUGGGGACAGUCAAUUGUAAUUAGUUUCAAAACCAAAGUUAAAAGUCCUUGGGUUUUAAAAAGGUGUAAAAAAAAUGUUCGGAUUCAUAUUAUUGUCCUCAAUUUGCCAAUAAACAUAUUUAAAUGUAUAAUGAUAUUAUUACACAAUUGCCCCUUUCAUUUGAUUAUUAUCAUAAUGUAUGCCAAUAAAUUGAUGGAAAAACUGCUUGUUUUAAGGUUUUUUGCUAAUCAUUUGUGUAAACGAGUUGACAGGAGACUCACGUCACACACAUCCAGGAAAUGGUUGAGGAAGAUAAAGGCCAUGUUCUCCCAGCCUGCUGCCUGUCAGGGGGAAAAAGAGCAGCAGUACUUAACCCUGGAAGAAACCUUUAAAGGGGGCCUGGCCUGCACUUUUGGGGUAUUUUCUCUAUGUGAACAUUUUUUUGAUUUAAGUACCCCCUAAUCAGAGCAAAGCAUUUUUAGUUGAAAAAACAGAUAAAGAAGUAAAAUACAGUACUAUGUCAUCAGUUUAUGAUUUAUUAAAUUGUAUAACUGCAAAAUAUUGCUCAUUUGUAGUGGUCUUUCUUGAACUAUUUGGAAAAAAAGAUAUGAAAAAAAUAAAAACUUGUUGAAAAAUAAACAAGUGAUUCAAUUAUAAAUAAAUAUUUCUACACAAAAAAGUAAUUAUCAACUUAAAAGUGCCCUCUUUGGGGAUUGUAAUAGAGAUCCAUCUGGAUUCAUGAACUUAGUUCUAAACAUUUCUUCACAAACAAAUAAAUCUAACAUCAAUAUUUAUGGAACAUGUCCACAAAAAAUCUAGCUGUCAACACUGAAUAUUGCAUAGUUGCAUUUAUUUUCAGUUUAUGAACUUAAAUUCAUAUUUUGUUGAAGUAUUCAAUAAAUAUAUUUAUAUAGGAUUUUUGAAUUGUUAUUUUUAGAAUAUUUGAAAAAAAUCUCACGAACCCCUUGGCAUACCUUCAAGUAACCCCCAGGGGUACACGUACCCCCAUUUGAGAACCACUGGCUUAUUCCCUAUGGGGUCACGGUGGGCGCUGGUGCCUAUCUCAGCUACAAUCGGGCGGAAGGCGGGGUACACCCUGGACAAGUCGCCACCUCAUUGCAGGGCCAACACAGUUAUACGGUACUGUAUAUCACUUGGGCCGGUAUAGCUCGGUUGGUAGAGCGGCCGUGCGAGCAACUUGAAGGUUCCAGGUUCGAUCCCCGCUUCCGCCAUCCCAGUCACUGCCGUGGUGUUCUUGGGCAAGACACUUUACCCACCAGUUCCCAGUGCCAACCACGCUGGUUUAAAAUUAACUUGGAUAUUGGGUUUCACCGUGUAAAAGCGCUUUGAGUCACUAGAGAAAAGCGCUAUAUAAAUAUAAUUCACUUAACUUCACUUAAUAUUGUGUUCGAAAGUGUACAAACCUUAUCUAAAGUAGGGACUUUUGUUGAGGCUGGAACCCAUUAUUCAUACUUAUAUUGUUUCUUAUGGAGAAAUUUGCUUCGCUAUACAUGUUUCUAUUUUAAGAAUACUGUUCAAGAACCAAUUCAGUUUGUAAAUUGAGGUUCCCUGCAACUCCAUUGUUAGAUGGUUUUUACUAACUUUUAUUUACGAGUUAGAAUGCAUAAAAACAUAGUAUGUGUGCCUGUCUCACAUAAGGAUUGUAAAUGAUAGACAAAAUUCUUAAAGAAGUGCAGUCCCCCAUUAAAUAAACAUUGUAAAAUGACUCUCAAUGCACUAAGCCAUUAGGUGCUCACCCUACAUGCUAGGCCUGCCUCAUAGAAGGCUCUAUCUGCAGGAACGAGGUCAGUGUGACGCAGCAGAGAUACACACAGCUUGGCCGAUAUGCUCGUCUGCAAACAAACAAACACACACUUUGAACAUUCUUGAACAACAAAGACAUUACCAUUACCAAAGUGUUUUUUGGUCACGUACAAGCUCUUCUAUCCCCGUGGUGGCGGCUCUGGCGGCGUAGUAAUGCGAGAUGAGUAACAUCUGUUCAAAGUCCUCAUGGGCCGCAGAGUUCUCUCCCGCUGACUUGGACAAGUUCUCACACUGAUGUCACACACAAACACACAUACACAUACACUUUUAACCAGUUUUUGUCUUAAUUGCAGUUUUAAGGUGAUGACACUUAGACUGCGGUUCUACCAGCUGCAGCAGAACGUUGCGGAGGUCUGCCCACGUGCGAUACGACUCUGGAGUCUCAGGGAGGUGAAUCAUGUCCAGGAACAGGCGCUUGUAGAUGUUAAAGUUCUGCGGAGGAUACAUGUUCAACUGUUUUGUGACUUGCAUAUAUAUAUAUAUAUAUAUAUAGUUGAUUAAAUGUGUGUGUGUGUGUGUGUGUGUGUGUGUGUGUGUGUGUGUACCUGUGGGUUAGGUGGCGCUCCGUGCUGCACGUACAGCUGCAACGCUUUCGGAGCAUCCCCCUCCUUGAUGAGGUGUGUGGCGUACAAAGCCACAUACUUGUGGAGGAUCUUAAAGUUCUAAAAUAAAUGCAUCCGUUCAGCAACAUUUAAGCGCAAUGUGUACGCUAGCAGUAGUCAGCUAUUGGGGACUGAAACAUUCAUCAACCUGCUUGGACGCCGUCUCCAGACAUUUGUCCCACUGGCCUCUCUCUGCAUACAUGUCCAGAGCCGCCAUGACGUCCACGCCCACCAGCUGAACACAAAAUAUUUAUGACAAUUUUGUCAGAGACCAAUUAAAAGCAUGAAUGUACACAUUUUCCACCCAUCCAUCCAUUUUCUACCGCUUGUCCCUUCUGGGGUCGCAGGGGGUGCUGAAGCCUAUCUAAGCUGCAUUUGGGCGGAAGGCAGGGUACACCCUGUACAAGUCGCCACCUCAUCACAGGGCCAACACAGAUAGACAGACAAAAUUUACACUCACGCACUAGGGCCAUUUUUUUUAGUGUUGUCAAUCAACCUAUCCCAAGGUGCAUGUUUUUGGCGGUCGGAGGAAGCCGGAGUACCCGGAGGGAACCCACGCAGUCACGGGGAGAACAUCCAAACUCCAGAAAAAAAGAUCCCGAGCCCGGGAUUGAAUUCAGGACUUUUCAGGACCUUCGUAUUGUGAAGCCCAUGCACUAACCCCUGUUCCACCGUGCUGCCCUGUAUACAUUUGAUUUCAUCUAAAAAAUUAUGUUUAUGUCUAUGUUAUUAUGUUUUGUAGCAAAAAAACAAACAAAAAAUACAUAAACUUUUUUAAUAUACCCGUGUUAAAUGUAGUUAGAAAGACAUGGGACUCACCGAAUCCACUUUGCCCUGAUUCUUCAAGUGCUCCUUGUACUUCUGGUCUACGUAGCUUUCGUACCUGCAGGAAACAAGAGUGAUGUAAUGGAGAGAGGAGUGUGUUUCCAUGCAAAGAUAUGGCAUGUGAUGAACAUAAUAAUAUAGCGUAGAUGAUUGAAAUAUGUUUAGCACACCUCGGCUCCAGCUCUUUGGCCACCCUCUUGGCUUUGUUCCACUCCUCCCCCUCCAUGAGGACGUCGAUGGCAUCCUUGAUCAGGCCCACGUGUAAAUACUGCUCGGCGGCCUUCAGUGUGACGCAUGUAGAGGUUAAGAAUAGUCCCAUGGAACCAAAUAAAUCAACAUGUGUUCGAGUUGACCCACAGUGUUGUACUUUCUCAGCUGAGCGAGGCGAGGCCCCACCACCUGGACCACUUUGACCGCUCGCUCCUCACCCAGGAACUUGAUUGACAACUCUGCAGCCUGGACACAUAUACAUUCAUGGAGGUCAGGUCGAGGGGGCAGUAAGCUACGCUGAGAAGCCCAGACUUCCUUCUACCCAGCUCCCUUGUCCUGCUCCUCCAGGGGAAUCCUGAGGAGUUCCCAAGCAAGCUAGGAGACAGUCUGCCCAACGUGUCUUGGGUCUUCCCCAUGGGUCGGACGUGCUUUAAACACCUCCCCAGAGAGGCGCCCGGGGGGCAUCCUGACAAGAUGGUCAAACCACCUCACCCGGCUCCUCUCGAUGUGGCGUUGAAGCGGCUUUACUUUGAACUACUCCUGAAUGACAGAGCCUCUCACCCUAUCACUAAGUGAGAGCCCUAACACCCGGCAAUAGAAACUCAUUUUGGCCGCUUGUACCCGUGAUCUUUUCACCACAACUGAUCGAUACAGGCUGCGUAUCACUGCAUACGUCGCAUCGAUCCGCCUGUUGGUCUCAUCAUCCACUCUUCCCUCACACGUGAACAGGACUCAGAGGUACUUGAACUCCUCUACUUGGGGAAAAAUCUCCUCCCUAACCCGGAAAUGGCACUCCAACCUUUUGUGGACAAGAACCAAGGACUGGGACUUGGAGGUGUGGAUUUUCAUCCCAGUCACUUCGCCCUCAGCUGCAAACCAAUCCCGUGAGAGCUGAAAACCUUGCCAGAUGAAGCCAGGAGGACCACAUCAUUUGCAAAAAGCAGCAACCUAAUCCUGCAACCACCAAACCGGAUCCCCUCAAAGUCCUGACUGCGGAUAGAAAUUUGGUCUUUAAAAGUUGUGAACAGAACCAGUGACCCUCACAGACCGCCUCAAUCAGGCUGUCUGAUACCCCAUACUCUCUGAGCACUCCACGUAGGACUUACCGAGUGACACGGUCUAACGCCUUCCCCAAGUCCACAAAGCACAUGGACUGGUUGGGCCAAUUCCCAUGCGCCCUUGAGUAUCUGCCGAGAGAAAGAGCUGGGUCACAGUUCCAGGACAAAAAACACUCUCCUCCUGAAUCAAAGGUUCGAUUAUCAGACGGAGCCUCCUCUCCAGUAACAAGCACCCUUGAGCAUCUGCCGAGAGUAAAGAGCUGGGUUACAGUUCCAUGACGAAAACCACUCUCUUUCUGAAUCAGAGGUUCGAUUAUCCGGCGCAGCUUCCUCUCCCGUACACCUGAAUAAACUUUACCGGAAGGGUAGGAGUUUAAUGCCACGAUAGUUGGAGCACACCAUCCGGUUCACUUUUUAAAGAGAAAAACCACCACCCCGAUCUGCCAAGCUAGAGGCACUGCCCACAAUGUUCACGCAAUGUUGUCAACCAAGACACCCCCACAGCAUCCAGAGCCUUAGGGAACUCCGAGGUGGGGCUCAUCCACACCCAUAGCCGUACCACCGAAAAGCUUUUUAACUAACUCGGUAACAUCAAACCCAGAAUUAGGAGAGCCAACCACCGAUUCCUUAGGCACUGCUUCUUCAAAGGAAGAUGUGUAGGUGAGAUUAAGAAAGUCUUCAAAGUAUUCCCUCUACUGAUCCACAACAUCCUGAGUCGAGGUCAGCAACACACUGUCCCCAGUAUACACUGUGUUGACAGUGCACUGCUUCCCCCCCUUAGGUGGUGGAUGGUGGUCCAGAAUCAAUUCGGACGUCGUUUUACAUUGUUCCCCCAAAAUCCUUCCAUGGCCAAGAUUUUUCCUCUGCGACCGCCUCAGCUGCACGCCUCUUGGCCUGUCAGUACCUGUCCGCUGCCUCCGGGGUUCCAUGAUCCAAACGGACCUGAUAAGACUCCUUCUUCAGCUUGACGGCAUUCCUCACCACUAAUGUCCACCAGUGGAUUCUGGAAUUACCCAACGACAGGCAGCGACCACUCUGCGGUCACAGAUCCGAUCGGCGGCCUCGACAACAUAGGUACGGAACAUGGUCCCCUUGGACUCAAUAUUGAGUCCAGUGCCAUCCCUUGUGACAUGUUACAGAUCUUCCGGAGGUGGGAAUUUAAACUAUGUCUGAUGGGAGACUAUGCUAGAGGUUCCCAGCAAACCCUCACAAUGUGUUUGGGCCUGCCAGGUUUGAACGGCAUCCUACCCCAACAUCGGAGCCAACUCACCACCAGGUGGUGAUCGAUAAAAGGCUCCACCCCCUCUUCACCCGAGUGUCCAAAACAUGAAACCGAAAAUCCGAUGACACAACCAUAAAGUCGAUCAUCAAACUGUCCUGGUGCCAAGUGCACAUAUGAACACCCUUUUGUUUGAAUAUGGUCUUCGUUAUGGACAAUCUGUGGCAAGCAAAAAAGAAAAACAACAAAACACCUCUCGGUUCAGACCCGGGCGGCCGUUCCUCCCAAUGACGUCUUUCCAGGUUUCACUGCUGUUGCCAAUGUGAACAUUGAAGUCCUCCAGUAGAACAAGGUACUUACCUGGGGGAGCACUCUCCAGUACUCCCACAAGGAAAUUGAAAAAGGUACACGGGAGCUGCCAUUUGGUGCGUAAGUACAAACAACAGUCAGGACCCGUCCCCCCCAACCGAAGGCGGAGGGAAGCUACCCUCCCGUCUACUGGGUUAAACUCCAAAGUACAGGCUCUGAGACUGGGGGGCAACAAGAAUUGCCACCAAAUCCCACCGCCUCUCACUGCUUGCAACGCCCCAAAGGAAGAGUCCAGCCCCUAUCAAGAGAACUGGUAUCAGAGCCCUGGCUGUGCGUCGAAGUGAGUUCGACUAGAUCCAGUCAGAAUUUCUCCACUUCACGCACCAGCUCACGCUCCUUCUCUACCGGCGUAAUGCAAUCCACGUCCCAAGAGCUAGCUUCUGUAGCCGAGGUUCGGACCCUGCCUUCAGCUGCCACCAAGCUCACAUUGCACCCGUCCUCUGGGCCCCCUCUUAUGAGUGGUGAGCCCAUAGGAGGAUUAGAAACUUGAAUGUAGAAAAAAAAGGAAUAAUAUACUCUUUCAAGCAUUUCGUCCAAUUUCAACCUUCAAAUUCAGAGACAAUCUUUUUUUCACUUGAUUCCUUUUGACAUGGGUGCACAUGCCGUAUUCAAGCUGAACAAAAAAGUAGCAGCCAGAGUUGAAUAAUUCAGUGUGUUUUUGCUUAAAAGCAACAUCUUCCUCCAUCAUUUCCACAGGCAACAUUUGAUGCGCUCUCCCACGAGUCGUUAAGAGUAGAAACGAGCUGCAGCUUGGCCAGCUCACACAUCAUUCCUGGUUGGGGAGUUUUGCGCUGGACUGAGCUCUUCAAGCUCAGGCUGUGUGUGUACUGCUGGGCCUUCAAGUGACCCCAGAGACUUGAAAGGUUUAAUCCACACCCAAACUAACAUCUUACAGCAUAAUUAGGUACUGAGGUGAUUAGCAGCUGAAUGCUAAAAGCAAAGCUAGGCCAAGUUCAAACGGAGUAUUGAUGUUAGUUCUCACCGCAUGCCCUUCUUGGUGGCCUCCUUCUCGUACUCCUCCUGAAGAAGGGAGAGCUUGUUGGGGAGGUACUCCUUGCAAAUGCGAAUGGCGUCGCUCCACAUGUCAGCAUCCUGAGAAACAAAGCAACAUUACCACACAGCUUUAAAACACGCUUUUAUGCAGAUCCAGAAAAAGGGACUCAUGAAGCUUGCAUCAACCUCUUUAGAACCAAUGUCCUUGGCAGUAGACAUUCGUUUUAGGUCUAUUUCUUUUGUCAGUUACAAAUAUCUGAAAAAAAUGUCCAAUGCAAAGAACCUCUAAUAAGAUUGUGUAGCUACUAGAGGUGGGAAUCUUUGGGCACCUCAAGAUUCAAUUACGAUUCAGAAGCUAUGAUUAUAUUAAAAAUCUAUUAUUGAUGCAUGUUUAGUUUUUGUAUAUUUGAUGCAUUUUUACGAUUCUUUUUGUUUGACUAAAUAAGCGUUUAACACUUGCAACUUAAAAAAACACAUAAUUUGGAAUAAGAAACUUAAAACAACACUUCAUUUGGAAUAAGAAACAGUUAAAUUAAUUCCCACAUUUAUUAAAUAAAAUGAAAAUGUGUGCAAAAUUGGAACAUAAAGGCCCUAUAACAAAGAGCUGGUCAGAUUUCUCAGUGAUGUGGCUCGCUGCAGUCAGACAAAUUUUAAAACUGUGUGCAUUACUUUAUUUGUAACAAAUAAAUGGAUUAUUUAUGUUUACUCAUCGAUUCUAUAAUUGACCAUGUCCAAAUUGCCAUGUAGCUAAAAAUCGAUGAUUUCCCCCACCUGUAUCAAGUAGCUACUGUAGCAAAACAAGCAAAUAACAUUAAGUGAAAGUUAACUGUUAUUUAUACAGCUCCACUACCUAAAACUUCAGUCACCUUGUAGUAUUUAACAGCCAGGUCGGAUCUUUCUGCUCGGAGCAGGAGGGCUUCAGCCUUCUGGUAGUCUUUCUGUUCAAAGCAGAACUUGGCGUGGCCCACCAGAACCUCCGGGAUGCUCUCUGGAUCGUGGCUUUCGGCCACGCGCUGCGCGGCGGCCCAGUCUUUGUUGUGUGCAUACCUGGAAGCAGGGUUACAACACAAAAAUAGUCUCUUUUUUUAAAAGGCCAAAAUGUGACAAUACUCAAACAACUAUCUUUUCAUAUAAAACUUAUAGUCCACAAUUGUUGCAUCACUCUGAAAUUAUUUACAUUGGACGUAAAUCCGUAGAGUGAUGACAUCAACAGAUCAAUCACAUGUACUCACAUAUGCACGGCUUCUUUGGGUUUUCCUGCUUUAAUGAACUCUAGCUCAGCCUCUGCAAACUUGCCCUGGAAGCCACAAGAGGAAUAUCGAGAUGGUUUAUGGCAGGGGUGUCAAAACUUGUUUCUAGAAAACAAAUGGGAUUCCACUUUGAUACUUUUUAUAGGUGAGAAAGCAAAUAGUGAAUUACCUAAUAAUACAUCCCAUUAAUAUUGAAUGACUGGCAUUCUUAGUCUAUUAGGGCCAAUGACAAACUGAGCUUUAGUAAAAUGGCCAAGAGGCUGCUGGUUGGACACCCCUGACUUUUGGUGUACAGCAGAUGGAGAUGGUAAGUAUCUACACAUGUACCUCGUCUUCCAGAUACAUAGCAUGUUUGAGGUGGAUCUCCGGUAUCUUCUCCUUGUUUGAAAGACGAGCCAGUUCGAAGGCAAAGUCGAAUAAGCUGCAGAGCACAACACAGAAAUAAGCUCACAUAAUUUUUGGACCAUGCAUCUCAUGCUCAAUGUGACGCCUUGCAUCUUACAAGUUGUUUGACGCUGAUUCGAUGCCGUAUUCCAGCAGACCAAAUUUGGUGAGUAGCUUGACGGCUGCCUCUCCUCCCAGACUCCUGGCCCACACAUAAGCCACCUGCUUCUGAGCGUUUGCACCGCCAUGGCUUUUGGCAAUCUGACACAAACACGCACGCGAACAAACAAGCACGCAACACAAACACACACACACUCACACACACGGUUGUAAGGUAUUGUGACAGCAAUGACAUAUUUAGAGUAUAGUGCAAAAAACGGUAAUGGCCAUUGUCCCGAUAUUGAGCUGACAGUUUAUACUACCAGGAGGUAAAAUAACAUUUUAUGAAAAAAAAAAAAGAAGAUUUAUACUUUGCAUCACACUGUUGCAUAUUCUGUUUGAGUUCAAAAACCAACCAGCGCAACAAGCGCCAUGGUCUAUUUUUGGUACAACCAGACAAAUUCAUCAGACCAAUUAGAGCAAAUUGAGGCCCGGGGGCCACAUGUGGCUCGUUAAGCUUUUUAAUCUGGCCCGCCGGACAUUCCCAAAUUUUUUUUUUACACCCUUAAGAAGGAAACUGUAGCUGCCAUUAUAAUGUGUAGUGAUGUUUUCAAAUUACCGUAAGUCUUGAACUAUAUGUAUUAUAAGUAUAAUAAUACUGCAAGUAUUUCAAUGGUUGGAAUCUGCGCUUUUGCAUGAUAUACUAGUUAUUAUGGUAAUCUAAUUAGUUACUAUGGUAAUCUACGUCACAGCAGCUCAGACGAGGCACUAAGCAGUGUGUGUGGGGAGCGUUUCCACAGAGUGUUUCCAGAGCGGGCGCCCUGAAAUGCGGGUGUCAAGGUCAGACGCAGAAGGAAAGUUCUAAAGCUUAGUGAUAUAUCAGAUAGUAUUUUUUUUUUACCCUUCAUGUUCAUAUUUAGCUUUGUUUGUUGCAUUUUUGUUGCGUUUCGCUUAAUUGUAAAAUAUGUCGUUCGAGAGGGGGUGUGACGUCAAUAUUCAGUGUUUUAUCGUUCAAAGUUAAUAAUGUAAAUUACACAUUCCAUUUUUUCAUGUACAU